GAGAGACGCCAUGGUGUGGCACCUGCUGCAGAGCACCAGGGAGAGGUAGCUGAGCCCCGACAGUCCCAGUAAACUGAGUGGCAGGGUGGCUGAGUGAUCUAGCACUGCAGUCCCAUAGCUGGAGGCUGGUGUUAUAGUGAAGAGGGCAGAUCUUUCUCCCCGGAUUGGACUGGCUGAGAGGCAGCCUAAGAGGCAGGCGGGAGGAGGGAGCAGCAUAUAGUGACUGGGCUGCCAAAGGAGGGAGGCGGCUACCCCUCUGGACACUCCCCACCUGCUACACAGAAGCAGCACAGUGACAGGACAGGAACUGGUCUGGCAACAUCUCCACCAUCGUCUGGGACAAAACAGCAACUCCUGUGUGUCUGAUCAGCAAUGUGCUAUCUAGUUUGGGGUAGUGCACACAUCUAGUCUAAGUGCUCUACAACAGACCUGGACCUCUAACUCACCCCACAAAUGGCUGCCAGGAGUGAAUGCGAGGAUGAAUCCAGUCAACCACCAAGCAAGAGGAGAUAUCGGUGCAAAACAACAACCUAUCACUCAACAUCAUCUCUACUAAAGCAGGUGGAACAGGCACUACAAAAACUACCUGAUGUUUUUGACAACCUAGGCACCCAUAUAGUCUGUUCUAUAUGUUUUAUGGAUCCAGAUCAGCAAAUCCACUUUGAGCGGCUCCUGUACGACAUGGUGAUAUAGGGGAAAAACAAGCAGUUGUCCGGUACCACAUGCCUUACUAAAGAAAUUCUGCCCCAGCCAUCUGUGCAGCCCGUUCAGGCUAUUGGUCCCUCCCCAUCACAGUAUAACCUCCCAGCCACCUACCAGCCUACUAUAGUGAUGGGCCCAACCCCAUCCCAUCCUACUCUGCAACCAACUUACCCUACUCCACAACCCACUUACCCUACCCCCAAACCACCUACCCAACACCCCUACUCACCCUACCACCCAACCCACUUACUCUACUCCCCAAUACACUUACCCUACCAUCCAACCCACCUACCCUACCACCCAACCCACUUACCCUACUCUCCAACCCACGUGCUGUACUCCCCAACCCACUUGCCCUACUUUCCAACCAACUUGCCCUACUCCACAACCCACUUGCCCUACUCCACAACACUCAGAGGCAAUCUACAGAGCAAUGCUGGAGGCAGAUAAGGAGUCACCUCAGUUUUCUAAAUUUAAAUUUUAAUCCAAAAAUGUGAUUUUAUUAACCAAGUAUCAAAAAGUUUUAUCUCUCCUAAUGGCUACUCUAUAAUAUAUGGGGGAAAUGAUGCUGAUUGAACACACGUUCACUAAACACAUGGUGUAAGGACAGAUUGUUGGAACCUGGGGCCUCAAUCUAGACUUGCGACAUGUGUUUCUUGACCUAUUCAAAACGGACCUACCAUAUAUCAUAGAGCUGCAUACAGUAGCUAUAGGGAUAGAUAACACUUGUUGAUAAUGCAGCUUUAACAAAAUGCAGCAAUGUUGGUUGCCAUAGUUUAUGCAAUGGAACCAUGUUGGUUGCCAUAGUUUACACAAUGUAACCAUGGGGGUCAUUCCGAGUUGAUCGCUAGCUGUCGUUGUACGCAGCGCAGCGAUCCGGCUAAAAAUCGGCAUUUCUGCGCAUGCGUAUGCACCGUAAUGUAAACGCGCGACGUACAGGUACAAUGUCCUUUGUGGUUUUGCACAGGUUCUAGCGAAGCUUUCAGUCGCACUGGAGGACGCAAGAAGAUUGACAGGAAGGGGGCGUUUCUGGGCGACAACUGACCAUUUUCAGGGAGUGUUUGGAAAAACGUAGGCGUGCCAGGAAAAAUGCAGGCGUGGCUGGGCGGGUGUGUGACGUCAAAAGCCAUCCCUCCAUCGUUAGAAUCAACGCACACGAAGAGUAAGUCCAGGGCUGGUCUUGUUUUGCACAAAAUGUUUUUGCAGGCGCUCUGCUGCACAUGCGUUCGUACUUCUGCAAAGCAAAUAUACACUUCCCGGUGGGCGGCGACAAUGCGUUUGCACGGCUGCUAAAAACUGCUAGCGAGCGAUCAACUCGGAAUGACCCCCCAUGUUGCUUGCCAUAGUUUAAAAAAUGCAGCCAUGGUGGUUGUGGAUUUUUUUACAUUCUUUGUGAAAAAAUAAAAAACUAUU